UGCUCUAUUUUUGUACCUACUGUAACACUCUCAAUGAAGGGUUUGAUGUAACUAUAUACUUUUACAAAGAAAUUACCUUCUACUGAAACGCAAUUCUCCAAUUGGUAAGAACUGUGGAAGAUCAGAUCAUUUUAAAGUGUAUCUGGUCAAAGCAUAGAGUGGAGUGCUUGUGCUCUAUUUCACGGGACUUCAAGACGUAAGAUAAACUUUGUAGAGACU
rnacentral:lncRNA from 1 species